rnacentral:rRNA from 1 species
AGAGUUUGAUCAUGGCUCAGGAUGAACGCUAGCUACAGGCUUAACACAAAAUGCAAGUCGAGGGGAAACGACAUCGAAAGCUUGCUUUUGAUGGGCGUCGACCGGCGCACGGGUGAGUAACGCGUAUCCAACCUGCCCACCACUUGGGGAUAACCUUGCGAAAGUAAGACUAAUACCCAAUGACGUCUCUAGAAGACAUCUGAAAGAGAUUAAAAGAUUUAUCGGUGAUGGAUGGGGAUGCGUCUGAUUAGCUUGUUGGCGGGGUAACGGCCGCCAAGGCUACGAUCAGUAGGGGUUCUGAGAGGAAGGUCCCCCACAUUGGAACUGAGACACGGUCCAAACUCCUACGGGAGGCA